rnacentral:misc_RNA from 1 species
GUGAAUCAUCGAAUUUUUGAACGCAAAUUGCACUCUCCUCGGAGAGUAUGCCUGUUUGAGGGUCAGCCUAUAAAAUUGACAUCGUUGCUGUUUUGCGGUGGGGUUUGUCGGGAAAUGGGGCAUUUUUAAACCUUUUGGUUUUUGAGACUUAAAAUUUUUUUUUGUUUGCUUGAAUGAUUCUAAGAACUAUUUCUUUAUACGUUUAAGGUAUCGAUUUUUACUAGAUGUGACUAUCAUAUCGGAUCG